CAUUGUUGCGGCAGCUGUGGUGUGGGGUCAGUCGUGGGCAGGUAGCUCGGUACGCUGUUUUUCCAACAACCAAGCUACCUGCCACAUCAUAAACAAAGGCCGUUCGGAGUCUCUAACGAUCAUGAGAUUCAUGAGAAGACUGACCUGGCUGGCGGCCUGCAAUCACUUUUAUUUGGUGUGUUCUCAUGUACCAGGGGUCUUUAAUACUGCAGCUGAC